UAAGUUUGUUCCUGGAGAUCGCUGACUGGAGGGCAUUGACAAAGCCCACUUAUGAAGUUAAUUCUCUCCCUCUGCAGAAGAGCAGAAAAGUUAUGUAAAAUGAGCUGCUGAGAUGUGACAGUGUUCAAAGAUGUUUUAUUGUAUAUGAUGUGUAAGAUCAGCGAUUGUUAAUAAUUCACAAACGAGAGAAAAAAAGGCUACGUCAGCAUAUUAACAGCUUCACUGGCUUUGCAGGACUAUUAUAGGUCAAGAGUGAAGAAAACUGGCCAGGCAUGGUGGCUCAUGCCUGUAAUCUCCGCACUUUAUGGGGUGAGGUGGGAGGAUUGCUUGAGCUCAGGAGUUCAAGACCAGCCUGGGCAAUACGGCAAGACCCUGUCUCUAUCUUGCUUUAAAAACAUUUUUAAAAAAAAGAGUGAAGAAAACUAAUAUAGAAGAGUAGACAAUCUAUACUUUGCCAGACAUCAAAAACCCAACUACUACUGGGUGGAACAGAGAGAGUAAGACAGCGGAAAAGAGGCAGGAAGUGUUAGGGAACAUCCUUCUUCAAUAAUUCAAUAUCCAGCCAGGUGCAGUGGCUCACGCCUGUAAUCCUAACACUUUGAGGGGCCAACACAGGCAGAUCACUUGAGGCCAGGAGUUCGAGACCAACCUGGCCAACACAGCGAAACGCCAUCACUACUAAAAAAAUAAAAUGAUUCAAUAUCCAUUUACUAACUAUCCUUAAUUGUCAUCAGGACAACUAACAGUAAUAUGGGGAAUCCAGUUUAAUAGGGUUUAACUGUAUUCAACAUGAGGAAAAAUACAACAACAAACCAGCUAAAAACAGAACAAGGGAUAAAGUCCUUAACAGUGGCUGCUUUUUUGUGUCUUUGGUGCAGAUGCCAGUAAAUAAUCUUGAGAAAAAAUGUGAAAUGUUUAUUGCAUAUGUAAUCAAAAGCAAUGUUAUCUUUUGGAAAAGUAUGGUAUCAUCUGAAUGUCCAUUUAUCAGAUUUAUUCCUUAGUUUAAUCAGAGAAACUUCAAAGUAGAAUCAUUAGGCCCAAAGAAAGCAAGUCUGAAAUUAAUCCUUUCAAAGUGGUAGGUAUAGGUUUUCAGCAGUGUAAGAAAAUUACCAAAUCUGACACUUCUGAUUUCUACCCUCCAUCCUCAUCUUCUGAAAACAGAUAUGGACAGCUAUUUUAUACGUGAGUUUUAAAUAAAGUACAAUAUUGAAUUAUAUAGAAUUAUGAAAUAUGAUAAUUUUCAUUAACUUUUUAUAAACCGGUAAGCAAAAAAUAAAACUCUAAGACCCCCAACUGACUCAUGGACCCUCCCCUUGCCAAAGGCAUUCCAAAGUUAACCUAAAAAACUAGUUCAGGCCAUAAUGAGAAGUGGGGGUUGGACAUGACUCAUAUACCCUCUUCCCUUUGGAAUUCAGGGACAACUGAUCAGCAUUAACAUUAAAACAGAGAUAUUAAGAUGUUUUGUAGCAAUAAGACGCCAAAUUCCCAGCCUGACUCUAGUACAGCAUCACGUCAGAUAGCAGGCCAUGAAAGAAAUUGAAGUAUUUUGAGGCCGGGCACAGUGGCUCACGCCUGUAAUCCCAGCACUUUGGGAGGCCGAGGCGGGUGAAUCACGAGGUCAAGAGAUCGAGACCAUCCUGGCCAACAUGGUGAAAUCCCGUCUCUACUAAAAAUACAAAAAAAAUAGCUGGGCAUGGUGGCCAGCGCCUGUAGUCCCAGCUACUCAGGAGGCUGAGGCAGGAGAACGGCGUGAACACAGGAGGCGGAGCUUGCAGUGAGCCGAGAUCAUGCCACUGCACUCCAGCCUGGGCAACAGAGCGAGACUCUGUCUCAAAAAAUAAAUAAAUAAAUAAAACAAAUUGAAGUAUUUUACCCUAAAUUAUAUUUCUUUGACAUAUUCUGAAAUGGCCCUGCAAAGCUUUCUCUUGUGGGGAAAAUUUACGUUCUGUAGAGAAUCCUUUCCCUUUCCAAGUCUUUUACCUGAACCAGGAGAAAAUUAACUUAAGAGUCUGCCACCUUUUAAAGUCUCAUAAGAAACAUUUACAAUGUAUUCUCUCUGAAGCCUGCUACCUGGAGGCUUCAUCUGUACAAUAAAAACCUUGGUAGCUACAACCUAUUAUUUUAAACCAGACACUCCCUUCUAUGGAUUCCAGGACUUUAGAUAAGCUCUUUUGACCAAUUGCCAAUCAGAAAAUCUUUGAAUCUGCCUACGACCUGGAAGCCUCCCCAACUUCUAGUUUUCCUGCCUUUCCAGAUGGAACCAAUGUACAUCUUACAUGUUUAACUGACGUCUUAUGUCUCCCUAAAGUGUAUAAAAUCAAGCUAUAGCCUGACCACCUUGGACAGAUGUUCUUAGUAUCUACUGGGGCUGUGUCAUGGGCCACUGGUCACUCAUAUUUGGCUCAGAAU
rnacentral:lncRNA from 1 species